AUUGAACGCUGGCGGCAGGCCUAACACAUGCAAGUCGAGCGGAUGACGGGAGCUUGCUCCUUGAUUCAGCGGCGGACGGGUGAGUAACGCCUAGGAAUCUGCCUGGUAGUGGGGGACAACGUUUCGAGAGGAACGCUAAUACCGCAUACGUCCUACGGGAGAAAGCAGGGGACCUUCGGGCCUUGCGCUAUCAGAUGAGCCUAGGUCGGAUUAGCUAGUUGGUGGGGUAAUGGCUCACCAAGGCGACGAUCCGUAACUGGUCUGAGAGGAUGAUCAGUCACACUGGAACUGAGACACGGUUCAGACUCCUACGGGAGGCAGCAGUGGGGAAUAUUGGACAAUGGGCGAAAGCCUGAUCCAGCCAUGCCGCGUGUGUGAAGAAGGUCUUCGGAUUGUAAAGCACUUUAAGUUGGGAGGAAGGGCAGUAAGCUAAUACCUUGCUGUUUUGACGUUACCGACAGAAUAAGCACCGGCUAACUCUGUGCCAGCCGCCGCCGUAAAAC
rnacentral:rRNA from 1 species